GCCUUUUGAGUUUAUAAAAGGUAAGACCUGCCCUAUGUUAAUUAUAAAUGGCUGCAGUAUCUUGACUGUACAAAGGUAGCAUAAUCAAUUGCACUUUAAUUGAGUGAUAGAAUGAAAGGUUAAACAAGUGAUUAACUGUCUCCUGGGUAGGAGGUGAAUUUAAACUCUGAGUGCAAAUUCUCAGAUUUUUAUGAUAGACGAGAAGACCCUAUAGAUCUUAUAUCUGAAGUUAAGAACCACUGUCUAAAUUACAGAUUUUACUGGGGAAGUGGGUAAAUCAAACUUUACCUUAUUCAACCUUUAUUAAAGAAUUAAAGACCUUGAAAUUUUAAUUUACAAGAUAAGUUACCUUAGGGAUAACAGCGUUAUAAAGAGCUAGAAGUUCAUAUUUUAGCUUGUGUUUACGACCUCGAUGUUGAAUUAAGGUUACCGCAGCAGGAAAAAGGGCUGCCAGGUUAGUCUGUUCGACUAUUGAAACCU
rnacentral:rRNA from 1 species